UAUUCUUCCUAUUCGGGAAGGAUGAGAAGCUUCGACCAAGGUUCGAUUCGAGCGUUAGCGAGAAAGCGUUGCCGUAGGCAACGACCCGAAGGGUGAAGCGCGCAGCGCUGAGUAAUCCUUCCCCCACCACCA
rnacentral:sRNA from 4 species